GAAAAUUUUUUAUCCACUAUUUUUUUUUUUUUUUUUAGGGGGAAAAGAAACCAACUGGGAUUACCUUCGUAACGGCGAGUGAAGCGGUAAAAGCUCAAAUUUGAAAUCUGGUACUUUCAGUGCCCGAGUUGUAAUUUGUAGAAUUUGUCUUUGAUUAGGUCCUCGUCUAUGUUCCUUGGAACAGGACGUCAUAGAGGGUGAGAAUCCCGUUUGGCGAGGAUACCUUUUCUCUGUAAGACUUUUUCGAAGAGUCGAGUUGUUUGGGAAUGCAGCUCAAAGUGGGUGGUAAAUUCCAUCUAAAGCUAAAUAUUGGCGAGAGACCGAUAGCGAACAAGUACAGUGAUGGAAAGAUGAAAAGAACUUUGAAAAGAGAGUGAAAAAGUACGUGAAAUUGUUGAAAGGGAAGGGCAUUUGAUCAGACAUGGUGUUUUUUGCAUGCACUCGCCUCUCGUGGGCUUGGGCCUCUCAAAAAUUUCACUGGGCCAACAUCAAUUCUGGCAGCAGGAUAAAUCAUUAAGAAUGUAGCUACUUCGGUAGUGUUAUAGCUUUUUGGAAUACUGUUAGCCGGGAUUGAGGAGUGCGCUUCAGCAACGUCGUGCGAUGUGUCUGGGUGGUU
rnacentral:rRNA from 1 species